GAAGAACGCUGGCGGCGUGCUUAACACAUGCAAGUCGAACGAAGUGGCGGACGGGUGAGUAACGCGUAAUCAACAUGCCCUUCAGAGGGGGACAACAGUUGGACACGACUGCUAAUACCGCAUACAGACGGAGGGGAUUGCGUCUGAUUCGCUAGUUGGAGGGGGAACGCCCCAACAAGGCGAUGAUCAGGAGCCGGUCUGAGAAGAUGGACGGCCACAAUGGGACUGGGAAACCGCCCAGGCUCCUACCGGAGGCAGCAGUGGGGAAUCUUCCGCAAUGGACGAAAGUCUGACGGAGCAACUCCGCGUGAGUGAUGACGGCCUUCGGGUUGUAAAGCUCUGUUAAUCGGGACGCGGUACCGGAAUAGAAAGCCACGGCUAACUACGUGCCAGCAGCCGUGGUAAUUC
rnacentral:rRNA from 1 species